UGUGGGAGCGAGCCUGCUCGCGAUAGCGGUGGGUCAGUCAGCGUUGGUUUUACUGAUGCACUGAUAUCGCGAGCAGGCUCGCUCCCACA
rnacentral:misc_RNA from 1 species